AUUGAACGCUGGCGGCAGGCCUAACACAUGCAAGUCGAACGAGUGGCGGACGGGUGAGUAAUGUCUGGGAAACUGCCUGAUGGAGGGGGAUAACUCCUGGAAACGGUAGCUAAUACCGCAUACCAUCAGAUGUUCCCAGAUGGGAUUGGCGAGUUGGUGGGGUAACGGCUAACCAAGGCGACGAUCCCUAGCUGGUCUGAGAGGUGGAACAACCACACUGGGACUGAGACACAGUCCAGACUCCUACGGGAGGCAGCAGUGGGGAAUAUUGCACAAUGGGAGCAAGCCUGAUGCAGCCAUGCCGCGUGUAUGAAGAAGGCCUUCGGGGUGUAAAGUACUUUCAGCGGGGAGGCGUUACACGCAGAAGAAGCACCGGCUAACUCCGGGCCAGCAGCCGCGGUAAAAC
rnacentral:rRNA from 1 species